GACGAACGCUGGCGGCGUGCUUAACACAUGCAAGUCGAACGAAGUGGCGAACGGGUGAGUAACGCGUAAUCAACCUGCCCUUCAGUGGGGGACAACAGUUGGAAACGACUGCUAAUACCGCAUACUGACGGUGGGGUUUGCGUCUGAUUAGCUAGUUGGUGGGGGAACGGCCCACCAAGGCGAUGAUCAGUAGCCGGUCUGGGAGGGUGAACGGCCACAAUGGGACUGGGACACGGCCCAGACCCCUACGGGAGGCAGCAGGGGGGAAUCUUCCGCAAUGGACGAAAGUCUGACGAUGCAACGGCGCGUGAGUGAUGACGGCCUUCGGGUUGUAAAGCUCUGUUAAUCGGGACGCGGUACCGGAAUAGAAAGCCACGGCUAACUACGUGCCAGCAGCCGCGGUAAUAC
rnacentral:rRNA from 1 species